UACAGAGGGUGCGAGCGUUGUUCGGAAUUAUUGGGCGUAAAGGGUGCGUAGGCGGUGCCACAAGUCACUUGUGAAAUCCCCAGGCUUAACCUGGGGCCUGCAGGCGAAACUGUGGUGCUGGAGUAUGGGAGAGGUGCGUGGAAUUCCCAGUGUAGAGGUGAAAUUCGUAGAUAUUGGGAAGAACACCGGUGGCGAAGGCGGCGACCUGGUCCUUGACUGACGCUGAGGCGCGAAAGCGUGGGGAGCAAACAG
rnacentral:rRNA from 1 species